UUAAGCUGGGAAAGUUAAUUGAGUAAUUGGGUUUAGGUAUUUCAUUGGAGAAUAAACGCAGUGUAAACCUUUUAUAAAACAAACAAAAAAUGGCAAGUUACAGAAUAUGAUUCCAUAAAAUGAAGUGUGUGCUUGAGAAAACAGCGGCGAUAAUUUGCAAUCAGUGGAAACACAUUGCGAAGAAUUCCGAAAAUAUUUGGAGAAGGGCGGUGUCAUGGAAACUUUCACGAGAAUACUCGUAUCACUUUACGAAGAAAAGGAACGUCCAGCUCAACCUUUGGAUUACAUAAAAAACAAGAUGAGAAUUGUGUCCCCCGAAUCCACUGAAAUUGAAGCAUUAAAAAACGAACUGCAGGCAGCUUUGGCUACUGUGGAGACACUGACAGCUGAAAAUAGAUCGUUGAAGGAAGAUAACUCAGACCUGAGGAACAGGAUGUCUCAGCUGGAAGCACAAGUUCCCAAAACUGAUGGAGAAACAUCAUCACUUAGCCAUAAUUGAUCUAAUGUAAGAUAAUGUAAGUGCUGUGAUAAUAUAUUUAAUUUACCAGAAAGUGACAGUGUUCAUUUACCGAAAAAUAUUUUUGGAAAGGGUUUUUGUACGUCAUAUAUACUGUGUAAUGGUCCAUGGUAAGAAAUAAGAAACAGUGAUAAAAAUAUUGUGUUUGUGUAAUUUAUUGCAUUAGUCAUGCACAGAUACUUUCUAUAAUGUGUUAAUACACACAAAGUGAGCCUUAAUUUUAUGCUAGUUGAGCUUUUGACUGACAAAAUCUAUAUUAUUGGCAAAUUAUGACAGUUCACUUCCCCUUUCUGCUCCCAAUGAUAUGCUACUAAUGUCUUACUGUUUUAAGAGGAAUUGAAUUGUCUUUUCGUUGUUCGUCAUUGUGUACGAAAGCACUGUGUAAACUAACUGUUGUUAAUAAAUUACUUUCUGUUUAAUGUUUAAAGUGAUAUAUACUAGCGUUUGAAACUGUAUUUCACAUGAUCAGUUUGGCAAAGUUUAUUCACACCUAUUUUUUUCUGUUCUCUGUUUUUGUGGAUUUGGUGCAUUUCUUGUAAUACUUCUGGUGUGAAAAUGCAAUGCAGAUAAUAUGUAACUAGCUUUACAAAGUGUAUACACUCUGAAGAGAGUCCUUUGAAAAUUGAUAUGUGCAAGAAAAAAGAAUGCAAAAGUUGUAGAAGUUUUUAGGCACUAAUAGAAGUACUUACAAAGCGAGCAGCAUCUGCUGUGAGUUAAGUUUCAUUGAAAAUUAUUCUGCAAGUCUGCAAGCAUUCCUCAUGUUCUGAUAUUAUUAUUAUAUAGCUAAGAAAGCUAUAAUGUUGUUGCUAUUUAUUUUGUUUUUAACUCUGUCAUUUUCAUGUUAGAAUUCGGACAUAUUCAGAAAUGUUUGUCUGUUGAAGAGAAAGAUUUAUUUUCUUGGAACCAUCAGCACUUUUUCAUAUUCUUGCAGUAAUGCUUGACCUAUGACAAUAAUAGUCCACAGUACAUUAUAGUUCAUUAAAUUGACAAAUAUAAAUUUUGUAUUCAAAUUUAUGGAAGAAAUAUGUCCAAGUGCAUUAAAUUAUAUGUUUAUGA